rnacentral:snRNA from 1 species
AAAAGUACAUAUAUUAGUAGAAA